UACGUAGGCAGCGAGCGUUGUUCGGAUUUACUGGGCGUAAAGCGUGCGUAGGCGGUUUUGUAAGUUUGGUGUGAAAUCUCCCGGCUCAACUGGGAGGGUGCGCCGAAAACUGCAAGGCUGGAGUAUGGGAGAGGUAGGCGGAAUUCCUGGUGUAGCGGUGAAAUGCGUAGAUAUCAGGAGGAACACCUGUGGUGUAGACGGCUUACUGGACCAUGACUGACGCUGAGGCACGAAAGCGUGGGGAGCAAACAGG
rnacentral:rRNA from 1 species